rnacentral:rRNA from 1 species
AAUAGAUACCCAGGUAGUCCAUGCCGUAAACGUUGGGAACUAGAUGUAGGGCCUGUUCCACGGGUUCUGUGUCGUAGCUAACGCAUUAAGUUCCCCGCCUGGGGAGUACGGCCGCAAGGCUAAAACUCAAAGGAAUUGACGGGGGCCCGCACAAGCGGCGGAGCAUGCGGAUUAAUUCGAUGCAACGCGAAGAACCUUACCAAGGCUUGACAUGACCGAGAACGCUGUAGAGAUACAGAACUCUUUGGACACUCGGUUACAGGUGGUGCAUGGUUGUCGUCAGCUCGUGUCGUGAGAUGUUCGGUUAAGUCCGGCAACGAGCGCAACCCUCGUCCUAUGUUGCCAGCACGUGAUGGUGGGAACUCAUGGGAUACUGCCGUGGUCAACACGGAGGAAGGUGGGGAUGACGUCAAAUCAUCAUGCCCCUUAUGUCUUGGGCUUCACGCAUGCUACAAUGGCCGAUACAAAGGGCUGCGAUACCGCGAGGUGGAGCGAAAUCCCAAAAAGCCGGUCUCGAGUUCGGAUUGGGGU